rnacentral:rRNA from 1 species
GACGAACGCUGGCGGCGUGCUUAACACAUGCGAGUCGAACGGAAAGGCCCUGCUUUUGUGGGGUGCUCGAGUGGCGAGCGGGUGAGUAACACGUGAGUAACCUGCCCUUGACUUUGGGAUAACUUCAGGAAACUGGGGCUAAUACCGGAUAGGAGCUCCUGCUGCAUGGUGGGGGUUGGAAAGUUUCGGCGGUUGGGGAUGGACUCGCGGCUUAUCAGCUUGUUGGUGGGGUAGUGGCUUUCCAAGGCUUUGACGGGUAGCCGGCCUGAGAGGGUGACCGGCCACAUUGGGACUGAGAUACGGCCCAGACUCCUACGGGAGGCAGCAGUGGGGAAUAUUGCACAAUGGGCGGAAGCCUGAUGCAGCAACGCCGCGUGCGGGAUGACGGCCUUCGGGUUGUAAACCGCUUUCGCCUGUGACGAAGCGUGAGUGACGGUAAUGGGUAAAGAAGCACCGGCUAACUACGUG